AGAGUUUGAUCAUGGCUCAGAUUGAACGCUGGCGGAAUGCUUUACACAUGCAAGUCGAGCGGCAGCGCGGGGGCAACUCUGGCGGCGAGCGGCGAACGGGUGAGUAAUGUAUCGGAACGUACCCCGUCGUGGGGGAUAACACAGCGAAAGCUGUGCUAAUACCGCAUACGACCUGAGGGUGAAAGCGGGGGACUCGUAAGGGCCUCGCGCGAUGGGAGCGGCCGAUAUCGGAUUAGCUAGUUGGUGAGGUAAAGGCUCACCAAGGCGACGAUCCGUAGCGGGUCUGAGAGGACGACCCGCCACACUGGAACUGAGACACGGUCCAGACUCCUACGGGAGGCAGCAGUGGGGAAUUUUGGACAAUGGGGGAAACCCUGAUCCAGCCAUUCCGCGUGAGUGAAGAAGGCCUUCGGGUUGUAAAGCUCUUUCAGCAGGAACGAAACGGUAGGCCUUAAUACGGUCUGCUAAUGACGGUACCUGAAGAAGAAGCACCGGCUAACUACGUGCCAGCAGCCGCGGUAAUACGUAGGGUGCGAGCGUUAAUCGGAAUUACUGGGCGUAAAGCGUGCGCAGGCGGUUCUAUAA
rnacentral:rRNA from 1 species